AGGAAACUCACAUUAUUCUCUUCAUGGCCAGCAGAAGAAAUAGAAUUUCUUGUUCACUGCUCCCUACAGAGAUUUUACAGGACAGGAACAACUGUUGUCCCAGAAAGUUUAAACUCUUACUUCUUAGUAGUUGUAAAAUCGGGUCGAUGUCUGAUAGUGACACAAGUGGAUCAAGAGAGAAUAUAUGCACACUCCAAUGAAAUGCAGAAUUUUUCUUCUCUUUGUGAUGACUUUAUCACAAUAUCAUCAUUAAAAGAAAAGAAGGAUUUGACUAGAAGACUUUGGGAAAGAUCUCUUUAUUCAGCUGCUCAGAGAACUCCUCUUACUCAGAUGCCCAGAAGACCAAGACCUCAAACAGCUGCAGUAUUAUGUUAUUCGCUCAGGGACAGAAAAGCCUUUGGUGACCUGGAACAGAAAGGUAAUGAGGCACUACAUGUGAACCUAAUAGAAGGUGGCUUCAUCAGUUCCUCAGUUCCUGAAGAUAAGGGCGCUGGAACAAGGUGGCAUUUUUGUAAGUUUUUGUGAUUAAAUCUGUUGUGAAGUUGUGUGUGUGGGUUUGUGUAUUUUAAAAAAUAGCUAUAACUUCCCA
rnacentral:lncRNA from 1 species